rnacentral:rRNA from 1 species
CCUACGGGUGGCAGCAGUGAGGAAUAUUGGUCAAUGGGCGGAAGCCUGAACCAGCCAAGUAGCGUGCAGGAUGACGGCCCUACGGGUUGUAAACUGCUGUUAUACGGGAAUAACGCGCCUUACGUGUAGGGCUUUGCAUGUACCGUAUGAAUAAGGACCGGCUAAGUCCGUGCCAGCAGCCGCGGUAAUACGGAAGGUCCGGGCGUUAUCCGGAUUUAUUGGGUUUAAAGGGAGCGUAGGCCGCAUGUCAAGCGUGCUGUGAAAUGUCCGGGCUCAACCCGGGCCUUGCAGCUCGAACUGGCGUGCUUGAGUCCGCGGCAAGCAGGCUGAAUUCGUCGUGUAGCGG